rnacentral:rRNA from 1 species
AGUGAACGCUGGCGGUAGGCCUAACACAUGCAAGUCGAACGGCAGCACAGUAAGAGCUUGCUCUUACGGGUGGCGAGUGGCGGAUGGGUGAGGAAUACAUCGGAAUCUACUUUUUCGUGGGGGAUAACGUAGGGAAACUUACGCUAAUACCGCAUACGACCUACGGGUGAAAGCAGGGGAUCUUCGGACCUUUCGCGAUUGAAUGAGCCGAUGUCGGAUUAGCUAGUUGGCGGGGUAAAGGCACACCAAGGCGACGAUCCGUAGCUGGUCUGAGAGGAUGAUCGGCCACACUGGAACUGAGACACGGUCCAGACUCCUACGGGAGGCAGCAGUGGGGAAUAUUGGACAAUGGGCGCAAGCCUGAUCCAGCCAUACCGCGUGGGUGAAGAAGGCCUUCGGGUUGUAAAGCCCUUUUGUUGGGAAAGAAAAGCAGCAGGUUAAUACCCCGCUGUUCUGACGGUACCCAAAGAAUAAGCACCGGCUAACUACGUG